rnacentral:rRNA from 11 species
AUUAUAUGACACAUCAUAUUCUAACGGCAACAAAUCUCAUCUGAUCUUGGAAGCUAAACAGGCUCAGACCCGGUUACAACUUGGAUGGAGACUAUCAAGGAAUAACAGGUACCAUGGGGUU